UUUGGACGUGUUGUUUCUCAGAUGUGAACACAAUUAUGCUGACUUUCUUAGUUUUGUGGGCCGUUGUAUUGGUCUCAAAAAGCUAUGGAGGUAGGUGAUUUGCAAUAUUUUUUCAACAAGCACAUUUCUAAACAUAGAACCAUUUACGCAUAUAAGCUUAAGUUAUCAGAGUUUAAGGUAGUUUUGACAAGAACAAGAUUUUAAUUCUUGUUAUGAAUUUCAGAUUUACAAUGUGUCGAAAACCCGGUCGAUCUUGUGUUCAUAAUUGAUUCAUCAUCUAGCAUUUUCCCAAACGAAUAUGUUCGUCAGUUGGAGUUUCUGGAAACCAUCGCUGGAGCGCUUGAUGUCGGCCAUCUUCAAAACCAGUCGAGGGUUGGAGUCAUUUCUUUUAGCGAUGAGCCACGAUUGGAGUUUACUUUAAAUCAGUACACCGAGAGAUCAGAACUGAUCGCGGCAAUUAGGAGAAUCAACUACCUUUCUGGUGGAACGAACACGGCAGCUGCCAUUCAACUUGCUUUGGAGACCAUGUUCAAUGAGGAAAGUGGUGCUAGAGAAGAAGCUAAAGAUAUCAUCAUAGUCAUCACUGAUGGAGAAAGCUUUUCUGAAUCUGCAACCAAAGCAUCGGCUCAAAAAGCAAGAGAACUGGGUAUCUUUGUGCUUGCAAUCGGCGUUGGUGUCAACGUUAAUGUGAGAGAAUUGAACCUUAUUACAGGAAAUCCGGAACAUGUGUACCAAGUGUUGAAAUUUGAAGAUCUCAGAGAUAUAACAGAGACUUUAAUAAAUAAGACGUGCACAGGUUUGUAAUUAGAGGUGAUAUCUUCAUUCUAUUCAGUUUCCUCCUCAUUUAAUCAGACCAUUUUAAGAAGAACAAUUUAAUCAUUAAAUUUAUCGAUUAGCUUAACUAGUGGAACUUUUUUCUUAACAGAAACAUUUAUUACAACAAGUCUUCCAGCUGUACAGAAAGAUUUGCCUCAUAACGAAUCAUCCACUUUCGAAAGUAAGUAACCACAUAUAAACGCCGGAUAUGUGAAUAGAUGAAAAAUAUGACUUGGUAUUUAACUACAAUAUAAUAAAAUAUGUUUAAGGUUGUGAUGAAAAGCCAGCAGAUGUUCUGUUUUUGUUGGAUUCUUCCAGCAGUAUCCAUCGCAAUGAUUUCAAGAAACAACUAAACUUUGUGAAAACAAUCGUGAGUGCGUUCGACAUCGGCCCGGAAAAGACAACUGUUGGGGUUUCUACUUUUAGCGAUGACUUUCGACUCGUCUUCAACCUCAACGACUUCACAACUAAAGAGGAUAUUUUAGGUGCAGUCGAUAAUGUUCCAUAUCUCAGAGGCGGCACCGACACUGGAUUUGCCCUUAAAAAUAUCAGAGAGUACGGAUUCAGAUUAGCUCGCUCUAAUGUUGCCCAUAUUUUAAUCGUUGUAACGGAUGGACUGUCACGUGAUCCAUCUGACACUCUUUUACAAGCAAGUUUGCUGAAAGAAAUCGGAAUCAAUAUUUUUGCAAUUGGUGUUGGACCUUUCAUCGACAAAAAGGAACUGAUAUCGAUGGCAAGUUCUCCAACAGAAGAUCUUAAUUUUGUCUUCGAUGUAUCUACGUACGAUGCUUUGAAAUCUGUUGAAAACCUUCUUGCCAAAAGGACCUGUCAAAUUGCUGCAAAGCAAAUGGAUAGUUACGCGCUCUGUAUUAUGGAGAAACCUGUCGACAUUUUGUUUGUAUUUGAUUCGGCAGCAAUAGGUUAUCAGGACACCAAACUAAUUUUGAAUAUAAUAAAGAGUUUUCAGAAACUUCGAUUUGAAAAUGCAGCAGACAUACACGUUGGAGUUGUUUCUUACUCGUGCACUUCUAAUGGCGACUUUCCCUUUCAACCCCCCAACGAUAACCUGUUGAUAUCAUUUGACAAAUUCGCAUCACUCCUCAAACGAGCAAAAACCUUUAAAAAUAGUGCUAGAAGCAACGCAGUGCGGGUAAUGGUUCUUUUGAUAGACCGCAACUUGACAAAUGAAGAUGAACUGGAGAUUCUUGAAAUUAAGACCGUGGUUGAUAGGUUGUACAUGAUCUACCUUGGGGAAAACCACACAAAAGAAAACACACUUACCAUUUCUUCGCUGAAUGCGCAGUCAGUAUUUGUGAAAAGUAUGAAUGAAACUGAAGAUCUCUCCAAUUAUCUCCAAAACGAGCUGUGUUUUGAUAUUGAUUGACCAUACUAUAAUACUGACCGAUUCAAGAUAUCAAUAAUUAAGGAGGCCGGGUUGUUAACAAAUUAACUAACAGCCGUGCCUACAUUUUUAAGAUAUGAUCUGUUUUGCUAUAAACUAUUGAAUAAGUAAUAAAAAAAUUCCAU
rnacentral:misc_RNA from 1 species